rnacentral:rRNA from 1 species
UCAGGAUGAACGCUGGCGGCGUGCCUAACACAUGCAAGUCGAACGGGACUAUCAAGUGAUGUUUCGGACUGAACUUUUAGUUAGUGGCGGACGGGUGAGUAACGCGUGGACAACCUGCCUCUCACUGGGGGAUAGCAGCUGGAAACGGCUGGUAAUACCGCAUGCGUUCAAUGUGCCGCAUGACACAUUGAAGAAAGAUUUAUCGGUGUGAGAUGGAUCCGCGUCUGAUUAGCCAGUUGGCGGGUAACGGCCCACCAAAGCGACGAUCAGUAGCCGGCCUGAGAGGGUGAACGGCCACAUUGGGACUGAGACACGGCCCAAACUCCUACGGGAGGCAGCAGUGGGGAAUAUUGCACAAUGGGCGCAAGCCUGAUGCAGCAAACCGCCGCGUGAGUGAAGAAGUAUUUCGGUAUGUAAAGCUCUAUCGGCAGGGAAGAAAGGCCCAUUAAGGGAGAUGACGGUACCUGACUAAGAAGCCCCGGCUAACUACGUGCCAGCAGCCGC